AGGAAACUUCCGGUCGGUGCAGCCCUGGCUUCCUCCGGUCAGUCACAUAAAUUUGUCAGGACAUACUGGAAAAAAAGGGACUAUCUCUUUGGUCAUAAAAGGAAACCAGGCGCAGAGAAAGGGACUCACCUACAAGCUAUUAUCAAAGGAUGGCAUUCCCGAAGGCCCAGGUGUCGCUUACCUUUCAGCUGAUGGUU